rnacentral:rRNA from 1 species
GACGAACGCUGGCGGCGUGCUUAACACAUGCAAGUCGAACGGAAAGGCCUGCUUUCCCUUGUGGAUUGCGGGUACUCGAGUGGCGAACGGGUGAGUAACACGUGAGUGAUCUGCCCCCAACUUGGGUAUAAGCCUGGGAAACUGGGUCUAAUUCCCGAUAGGACUGCAGGGUGGUGCCUGUGGUGGAACACGAUUUUCUAGUGGUUGGGGAUGAGCUCGCGGCCUAUCAGCUUGUUGGUGGGGUAAUGACCUACCAAGGCGGCGACGGGUAGCCGGCCUGAGAGGGUGGACGGCCACAUUGGGACUGAGAUACGGCCCAGAGUCCUACGGGAGGCAGCAGUGGGGAAUAUUGCACAAUGGGCGGAAGCCUGAUGCAGCGACGCCGCGUGGGGGAUGACGGCCUUCGGGUUGUAAACUCCUUUCGACCGCGAGGAAGCCACCUGGUUGGAAGGGUGGUGACGGUAGUGGUAGAAGAAGCACCGGCUAACUACGUG